AGAACCGAGAACAGCAGCUGUCCCAGCGGAUGGGAAGGCAGUGUGGUAGAAAUUAUUAGAAGAAAAUGUUGAAAAAAGACAGGAAAGGCGGGAGAAAACGGAAUAAGGUGUUUACAUCACAAGUGAAGUAGAGAGAUAAGUGCUGUUUUCCUAUGAAAUACAGGUGCGGGGAAGUGGAAUCCCUAGUUUUCUGCUGCAGGGGUCGAAGAUUCAUCUUUUAGAAACCAAAUGGCCCAGGGCAAAGUUGAGCACGUUAUGACCAUAUGAUAUACAUCUCAAAAGAGCACAAAAUAAAAAGCAUGUUCGCAUAUCCUGCAUUUGCCUCUAAAAGUGCUUCGGAUACCCACAAAAUUACCUACAGAUCGCUCCCAAAUGUUUAAUAUUUUAUACACUGAAAGAACUCUGACCUGUUUGAAACCACAUACAAUCAGGAAUUAGUUGGGAUGGGGCACGCUAUGGAUUACCUUACGUCAAUAAAUUCAACACAUACUCAAGGGGAGAGGAUGGCACAAGAGCAUGAAUACCAGUAUACUGGAUCCUUGGGGGCAAUAUCAGAGGACGCCUACCACAAAGAUACUGUUCUAUAAUUGCCUGCUUACAUAGAACCUGCUUACUUCUUUGUUUCUCCCUUUCAGUUGUAUGCUCUGUAGAAACAAGGGCUGCCUCUGUUUUGCUCACUAUUGUAACAAAUGUGGUACCUCAUACGUAGUCAGUAAAUGUUUGCUUAAUAAAUGAACAGGUUAAGUGAUAGAUUUUAAAAGUAGAUAUUAUGAGUCUCAUACAUGUGAACACCUAUCAAAUCUUUUAUUUAACUCAUUAAUUAAUGAGAGAAGAAGUGAGAUAUAAACCACUCAAAUGAAAACUCAAAAUACCAAAUAUUUAUUGUCAGAUAAGGAAUACUGACAUGAUUUUUACUAAUGGGUGAAAAUUGGCAAAACAGGUUCAUAUUCACAGGGCAAUAAUCAGUGGAUACACUGGACAAAAUUUGCAUUUCUAAGGAAAAAAUUAUUCUCAUUACUAACGGUUUUCAACAGUUAAUGUAUACCUCUAAGUGUUGUAAAAUAAUAUAGUCAAAAGCAAAGGCAGAGAUAACCUGUAUUGAUGAACUAGACAGUGUGCUCACUAAAUUUCACAAUCUUCCAAAAUUUUUUCUUGCAAAUGAAUGGUACAGACUGGGUGAAAAUGCACCCCAGGAUAAGGCCAAGCAAGAGAACAGUCUUAACUCUUUUCUUUUCAAAUUCAUAUAAACAGUUAGGACACUUAAUUGGGAACUUAAGGUUCUUGAUUAUUAGGGAACAGGACUUUCUAAAUAUGUUGAAGUAUCUCAGAUGGAUCUCCAUACCUUUACCAUAUGUUACUGCUCCCUUACACAUGGUUUUGACCUUGUGUAAUAGAGAGUAUCUCUGGCAAAAAAGUAAAACCAAACCAUCCCAAUGCUCCAGGGGGUGAUAGAGUCUUGUAGGUAGAUUCCAAGAUCCCAAGGCUUAUGAGAUCCGGGGUUCUAUCAGCAAUUGUCAAACCCAGGCAGACCAGCCACAUCAACAUUUUCCUAGGUGGGGAUAAGGAUAACGUCCUGGUCAAAUUUUGACUCUUGCUCUCUAUCCUAGAUAUAUUGAAUCAAAAUAUGCUGAAGUGAGGCCUGGAUAAUCUUAUUUUUAAAGUACUCCUCAGAUAAUUCCCUGUGGCCAAUUUUAUUACCCACUAGUCUAGAUCAUUUCUCACUGAAGGCAUUCAUAGUGUUGUGGCUAUGAGCAAAUUGCAUCUGAAGAGUUUAUGGAGGCCUCUUUGUCUACCAUGAAGAGGUUACAGGUGGCUUUCUCUUUUAGUGUCUCCUGGUGAAUCCAGGGAUAAAGGUUUCUCCCCUGCUAGGUCAUUAAUAAAGAAAGCUAAACUUUGAGAAAACACACACCAUGCUAUACCUUAGCUGUAAAAUCAUUACAGAAAAAAAAAAAGCAAGAAGCACAAACACAAUCUCUUCCUAUAUCCUCAAACCAUAGACCAUGGUGUUAUAGAAUUACCUAAUUUCCAUAGCCUCAAUAAAAAACCUUUUCAGGGACGGUUUCAACAGAUAUUUGCACAGUGACCUUCUGGGUCCUACUGGAAUAAGAGAAAUAUAAUUUGUACAUUUUUCCUACCAUGCAAAUUUUGCUGAAUCAUUUCGCUACAUUUGAAAAGCUACAACUAUUUGAAAUUCAAAUGCACAUUUACCAUCUGUGGUUUUCAUUAACAUUAUAAUAGCAUCAUGAUUUCAGAUACUUCUGUUGAUGAAUAUUAGUUUUCUUAAGACUUAUACUCACUAGUUUUAAUUUUGUAGUCCAUAAAGUGUAACAGGUAAUCUGAUUUAUUAUAUAUAAAUCAUAGAGUGAGAAGAGAUGUUAGAAAUGACUAAUUCCAAUAUCCCUAUUUGAUGAGAGAGGAAAACAAGACUCAGAAAGGAGAACUAUUAUAGGCUGAAUUGUGUCCCCAAAAUUCAUAUGUUGCAAUCCUAACUCCCAGUA